GGACGAACGCUGGCGGCGUGCCUAAUACAUGCAAGUCGAACGAACUGCGACUAAGUGCUUGCACUAAGUCAAGGUGAGUGGCGAACGGGUGAGUAACACGUGGGUAACCUACCUCAUAGUGGGGGAUAACAGUCGGAAACGACUGCUAAUACCGCAUAGGACAUAGGAUCACAUGAUCCAGUGAGGAAAGGUGGCGCAAGCUAUCGCUAAGAGAUGGACCCGCGGUGCAUUAGCUAGUUGGUAGGGUAAAGGCCUACCAAGGCGAUGAUGCAUAGCCGACCUGAGAGGGUGAUCGGCCACAUUGGGACUGAGACACGGCCCAAACUCCUACGGGAGGCAGCAGUAGGGAAUCUUCCGCAAUGGACGCAAGUCUGACGGAGCAACGCCGCGUGAGUGAAGAAGGUCUUCGGAUCGUAAAGCUCUGUUGUUAGAGAAGAACAGCGCAUAGAGUAACUGCUAUGCGUGUGACGGUAGCUAACCAGAAAGCCACGGCUAACUACGUG
rnacentral:rRNA from 1 species